rnacentral:rRNA from 1 species
GUAUAUCUGGUUCAGCCUGGUGAAUUCAUAGCCAGUCUGCGCGAACGAAGGGAAGUGAAACAUCUCAGUACCUUUAGGAAGAGAAAUCAACCGAGAUUCCCCCAGUAGUGGCGAGCGAACGGGGAACAGCCUAAACCUUCUAUAUGUUCAAGAUUCUAGUCGUUGUAUAGAAGGUGUCGUGGGACUUUCACGGGCAGCUAGAACUGUCCGACAGAGUUACCAAAUGAAAUGCUAGUAGAAGGGUCUGGAAAGACCCGCCAUAGAGGGUGAUAGCCCCGUAAACGAAAGCAUAUUCAUCUCUGGAAAGUAUCCCGAGUACCACAGGACACGUGAAAUCCUGUGGGAAUCAGGGGAGACCACUCUCCAAGGCUAAAGAUUACUCAGUGACCGAUAGUGAACGAGUACCGUGAGGGAAAGGUGAAAAGAACCCCGAGAGGGGAGUGAAAUAGAACCUGAAACCGUAAGCUUACAAGCAGUGGGAGCACAAUGUGCGAUUGCACAAGUGUGACCGCGUACCUCUUGCAUGA